GUCCUCACCCGCAUGUCUCCAUCCUCGCCUCAAGUUCGUCAUCUCCGUCUUCGUCGCCCAGGUCCAAGGCGUGGCUUUUCUGCAUCUUGAGCUGGCUGCGUAUCCAUUCAUGUAUCAACGCAAGCAACUCAACAUCGUUUGGUUCCCAUCUUCGUUUGGAUCAAUAAAGGUUGCAGCUGCUCAUGAUCAAAAUGUGCUUUGUAGACCAGCUGGUUCGUUUCUUUGUUCAGACCCGGAUUCCACCGUCAGCUCCUGCCAAUGCCACCUCAGUGAACCCGUCAAGUCAUCAAUCCAAUCAUCACUCUCUGGUCCAGCCGUCAGCCGCUGUGGCUAGCUCUUCUCUGGUAUAAAACGUUUUCAUCUUUUCCCUGUUUUCUGAAAAAUCCAGAAAAUGUUUCAAACUUGCAAAAAAUCAUAGCUCUCAAACUAUAACUCGGAAUAAAAUGUUUUAUAUAUGAAUUUUGCUCAGAAAAAUACGAGGAUCAUGAAUAUGCCAUCCAUGCUUGCUGUUGCAUCAUGCAUCAUAUAAUUUCGUGCUAGUUCGCAUUAUCACCUAAUAUGUAACAUAUGGAAUAUGUGGGAUAUUGUAUAAAUGUUGUCCCGGUUCCAUUUAACUUUGAUGUAGCUCACCCCUGCCAUGUUUGCUAUGCUAAUCCACCCUUAAAUUUGACGAUAGAAAAUGCAACUCCAACCUAAUUUAUGUGUCCGGGGUUUCGACUCCGAUUAAUUUGGAUAAGUUGCAUCGCCGGAUCAUGUUUGCCAUGCCAUGCAUAUCAUAUCAUGAUCAUGCAGAUUCUUUUGCCGUAGUAGUAAG